UACGUAGGGUGCGAGCGUUAAUCGGAAUUACUGGGCGUAAAGAGUGCGUAGGCGGUUCCGCAAGUCCGCUGUGAAAGCCCCGGGCUUAACUCGGAACUGCCAAGUGAAACUGUCAAGCUAGAGUGCGGAAGGGGCAAUCGGAAUUCUUGGUGUAGCGGUGAAAUGCGUAGAUAUCAAGAGGAACACCUGAGGUGAAGACGGGUUGCUGGGCCGACACUGACGCUGAGGCGCGAAAGCCAGGGGAGCAAACGGG
rnacentral:rRNA from 1 species